rfam:Ciona savignyi cont_31666, whole genome shotgun sequence.
UCCUCGUUAGUAUAGUGGUGAGUAUCCCCGCCUGUAACGCGGGAGACCGGGGUUCGAUUCCCCGACGGGGAG